rnacentral:rRNA from 1 species
UAGGGAAUCUUCGGCAAUGGGGGCAACCCUGACCGAGCAACGCCGCGUGAGUGAAGAAGGUUUUCGGAUCGUAAAGCUCUGUUGUAAGAGAAGAACGUGUGUGAGAGUGGAAAGUUCACACAGUGACGGUAACUUACCAGAAAGGGACGGCUAACUACGUGCCAGCAGCCGCGGUAAUACGUAGGUCCCGAGCGUUGUCCGGAUUUAUUGGGCGUAAAGCGAGCGCAGGCGGUUUAAUAAGUCUGAAGUUAAAGGCAGUGGCUUAACCAUUGUUCGCUUUGGAAAAUGUUAAGCUUGAGUGUAGAAGGGGGUAGUGGAAUUCCGUGUGGAGCGGUGGAAUUCGUAGAUAUAUGGAGGAACACCGGUGGCGAAAGCGGCUCUCUGGUCUGUAGCUUACGCUGGGGCUCGAAAGGGUGGGGGGGAAACAGG